rnacentral:rRNA from 1 species
AGCGAACGCUGGCGGCAGGCUUAACACAUGCAAGUCGAACGCAUCCUUCGGGGUGAGUGGCAGACGGGUGAGUAACACGUGGGAACGUACCCUUCGAUCUGGGAUAACUUCGGGAAACUGGAGCUAAUACCGGAUACGCCCUUUUGGGGGAAGGUUUACUGUCGAAGGAUCGGCCCUCGUCUCAUUAGCUAUUUGGGGGGGUAACGGCCUACCAAGGCGACGAUCAGUAGCUGGCCUGAGAGGAUGAUCAGCCACCCUGGGACUGAGACACGGCCCAGACUGGUAAGAGAGGCGGCAGUAGGGAAUCUUCCGCGAUGGGCGAAAGCCUGACGGGGCAGAGCCGCGGGAGGGAUGAAGUUCUUAGGAGCGGAAAACUCUGUUAUGAGGGAAGAACAAAUGUGUAAGUAACUAUGCACGUCUUGACGGUACCUAAUCAGAAAGCCACGGCUAACUACGUG